rnacentral:lncRNA from 10 species
GUCGGGGCCGCCCACCCGGCGGACGCCGGAGGCGAGAGGCCCCACCCCGGCUCCUCUCCACACCCCGCGCGGCCUUGGGGAGUCAGCCCGGGACUCGCUCCCGGCAGGUGUCCUACCCUCCCCCGGUCCCGGUUGGCGCGGCGGCCGGCACGGCGGGCGCGGAGGGGGCCGCGCUGGUGUCACCAGGAGUGAACAGCCCAGCUAUUCAGGGAGGGGGCGCCCCCCGCUGCCCUCCGCGACCCGCGCUGACGUCGCCGCGCAGCCCGUUACGUAACCCCCCUCCCCGCCUUUCCUCGCGGGCCCGGCCUCCUCCUCCAGCGCCGCCUCGCCUGCCGCAGCGCCUCCGCGUUCCGCUUUGCGCCCAAAGGGAAACUGAGGCCCUUCUCCAGCAGAGCACGGCGGGUAGUGCCCGCGGGAGUGGCUGUGACCGUCCUCGUUAGGAUUCUUGGGUCCCUAGGGGAGCCCAGACUGCGAAGGGAGCCCCAGCUCCGCCUGGGGGACUCGGCUUCCUCCUGUCUACCGCGUUCUUCCUUCCUGGCCUGGACUCUGGGGGCUCUGGAGUCUUCUGUGGCCGCUCCACCCACAUUUGUGCCUGGGCCACCAUGUGCCUUAAAUUAUAAAGUCGGGCAGUGACGCUCAGUAGGGGUUGGUUUCUCCACCUUCCUCUGGGUGACCUUAGGCAGAUUUUGCCUCUCCGAACCUCAGUGUCCCCACCUGUCUAAAAUGGCCCCUUCCUUCUAGUGUGGUGGGGAAGAACAGCAGCAUGUCGACACCCGGGCUAAUGUUGGACUCCUGGGCUCAAGCGAUCCUCUUGCCUUGGCCUCCCAGCAUGUUGGGAUUACAGGCAUGAACUACCGCACCCGGCCCGUACUCUGUCUUCACCUCCUCUGGGAAGCCUUCCUCAGUCUCUGGCUCUCAGGUCGCCCGUGCAUACCUGUCCUGAAACUGCUUUCCCACCUGUGUUCCCAGGGCAGAGAGUGGAUGCCCAUGGAUGGUUUGUCAAAGGAAUAAAUUAGCCUUUUUUGGAGGAACUGUCUACUAAAAUAUUCUUUCUUCCCCUGCUGCAGGGCUGGGGCCCCAGCAUCCCUUUACCCCUCUAAGUCUCCCGUCCACCUCUUCAGAACCAGUGAGCGUUUGCUGAAUAAAUAGAGGCAUGAAUGUCUGAAUGAGUGAUUUCUGUCUAUGCCAUGGAGAAUUUUUUUUUUUUUUUUCAAAUCUGUAGUGUCUAUACCUUCAGAGGGAUGGGCCAGGCCAGGAAGGUGAGUCUCAGCUUCUGAGCUGGGUCUCGCCCAGGACCCUCCGCUGACAGCAUGACAGGGAGUGGGAGCAGGCACCUGCCGUGUCAGGACCUUUGUCUACAUGAAAUAGGAAUGAGCAGGUGAAGGCCAUCCUGCCCCUGCUGUGGUGCCCAAGGUUGGGUGGUCAGCCCACACACAGGGAUGCAGGGACAAGGUGGGCUUCUCCCUGGCAGGACGGAAGAAAGUGAAACCCCUGCAAAUGGCCCUGUGUCUGGCAGGCCAGGGCCUCGUUAUCCUGGAUGGGGGCCUCCCUCCGCUCAACAGGCCCUGCAGAGGGGAAGUGGCCCAUGGAGGGGCUGGACAUCAGGCCUCCUGCAACCUGUCCAGAAGUUGGAUGUUUGCCCUGGGGCCUUCCAGUUCGCAAACUUGGUUGGGGAGUGCUCAGCGUUGCCUGUUUGGGGAAUGAGGGGCCUGAGGAGGCCCCUUACCCCACUGAUGCCCCAGAACUGUUUGCCCCCUACCCCAGCCCAGUGGUGGCAGUAGAGGUGGCAAGGUCAUCCCCUGCCACCCUUAACCUGUAUCACUCUUCUAUAGCAGU